GUCCCCAUCGUCUAGUGGUUAGGACACCGCCCUUUCACGGCGGCAACAGGGGUUCAAAUCCCCUUGGGGACGCCA
rnacentral:tRNA from 1 species